CAACCGCCGCAGACACAUUGUUUGGAGUCGUUCUGUGUAUCUUUCAGUCUGGGUAUGUUGCUCCUCUGUAGGAGGGAUGGAGGAUCUUUUACAUGUCUUUGUCCAGGGGCCUGUUUGUGCAAAAAUAUGCUUUUUACCAUUUUCUUCUUCCCCCAUAAAGCUGUAUCAGAUGUAAAGGUUGCUAAGCAUUUGUCUUAUGGUACGUCGUGCAAAAAAGUUUAAAUA